GGUCCCUUGGCCAAGUCGGUUACGGCGUGGUGCUAAUAAAACGCCAAGAUCAGCGGUUCGAUCCCGCUAGGGACCA